GUAGAAUUAGUAUUGACAGCUUUAUUGUGAACGCACUCUUGAAAUUUCAAUAAAACUUGAAUCCAGAGGACGCCAAUUAUGUUUUAAAUAGCGGGGGUGUAGUGAAGCAAUUUUAUUUUAUAAAUUUGAAGCAGUGCCAUACAGUUCUGAUUAUCUAUGUAGAUGGAAAGAUAAUAUUCUAUUUUCAGGAGAACCUCUUUCCUCUGAGUGUUUUUUUUAAAUUUUGGUGCUAUUCCUUUAUAACUGCAGGGGGUACAAAAGGUGAUGUAAUCCCUAAGAGAACAAUGGAAUAGUACUAAUAGGAGUUUAACGAGGAUCCUUUAGUGCAACAGUAAAUGGUAGUGGUUUUGAAACCGACUAACCUCCUCUAGAUUCCACAAAGAAAACAUUUAUUCAUUCUUGUUAUGUGAGUGACAUUAAAAAAACUAUGGCGUCUUCGAGUA